UUGAUUGAUUGAUUGAUUGAUUGGUGUCUUUGGUUGAGGCUUUCACUGAGACUGAAGCCCACCGACUGACUGACCAGUGAGAUUCCAGGAUUCUCUCGUCUCUGCUUCUUAGUGCUCAGACUUCAGGUGCACCCACAGCAACUGAAUUCAUGUGUGACUGCUGGAGAUGACUCAUGAUUCAUAACUGACCCCUGACACACUGAGCAUCUACUUAGCCUCUAAAGAUUAUUAUGUCAUUCCUCUUACUAUUUUACAGACUAUAAACAAAGAGGGAUCUUUAAUAAUUCUGAUCUACUAUCCUUUACCAUGUGAUUUAAAACUAACUUUGUUCAUUGCAGAAUUUGGAUAGAUCAACACACUCACUAAGAAAGGAAGAUUAUUUCAGAUCCCAAAGGUUUAUGGGGUAAUUUAUGAGAUCCUUGAGAACGUUUUUACUUUAUUAAGCUUAAUAUGACAACAGAAUAGCACCCACGUGUGUAAAGCAGCUACACCCUCAGCAGGCAGGAGUUUUCUGGAGCUCGCUUUUCUAAGUGAUGCCUCUUUUGACUACUAAGAAAAACAAGGAAGCAAGUAAAGGUCUGUGGUAAGCUACACAUUUGAUCACUGUGUACGGAACUUGUGGCCUAUGUUCACACAAAACCCCAUUUCCUGCUUGAGGAAAGAUACACAGGCAGUUCAUGUGCACACUGCCUGUUGCUCAGAUUGAGAGCUGAGCUGAGGCAGAACGGACACACUCAUGCAGAAGGACAAGUGCCACAUGCCUCCUCGGAGCCUGCUCUGUGUGCUGGUGGUCUUGGCUUUGUCUGGAUGUAAUGUGGCCCAGAAAGUGACUCAGGUCCAGUCAACAGCAAGCAGGCAGGAGGGGGAAGACAUCACCCUGGACUGUUCAUAUGAGACAAGUUAUGUCGUAUAUUAUCUUUUUUGGUACAAGCAGCUUCUUAGUGGAGAAAUGGUUUUCCUUAUUCACCAAAUUUCUUCUACUGCAGAGGAGAGGAGUGGCCGCUAUUCUGUAGUCUUCCAGCAAUCACUCAAGUCCAUCAGCCUUGUCA
rnacentral:sRNA from 1 species